CCUACGGGAGGCAGCAGUGGGGAAUAUUGGACAAUGGGCGAAAGCCUGAUCCAGCCAUGCCGCGUGUGUGAAGAAGGCCUUCGGGUUGUAAAGCACUUUCAGUGGGGAAGAAAGCCUUGGGGCUAAUACCCUCGAGGAAGGACAUCACCCACAGAAGAAGCACCGGCUAACUCCGUGCCAGCAGCCGCGGUAAUACGGAGGGUGCGAGCGUUAAUCGGAAUUACUGGGCGUAAAGCGCGCGUAGGCGGUCUGAUAAGCCGGUUGUGAAAGCCCCGGGCUCAACCUGGGAACGGCAUCCGGAACUGUCAGGCUAGAGUGUAGGAGAGGAAGGUAGAAUUCCCGGUGUAGCGGUGAAAUGCGUAGAGAUCGGGAGGAAUACCAGUGGCGAAGGCGGCCUUCUGGACUGACACUGACGCUGAGGUGCGAAAGCGUGGGUAGCAAACAGGAUUAGAUACCCUGUAGUC
rnacentral:rRNA from 1 species